GACGAACGCUGGCGGCGUGCCUAAUACAUGCAAGUAGAACGCUGAAGAGAGGAGCUUGCUCUUCUUGGAUGAGUUGCGAACGGGUGAGUAACACGUGGGUAACCUACCUAUAAGACUGGAAUAACUCCGGGAAACCGGGGCUAAUGCCGGAUAACAUAUAGAACCGCAUGGUUCUAUAGUGAAAGAUGGUUUUGCUAUCACUUAUAGAUGGACCCGCGCCGUAUUAGCUAGUUGGUAAGGUAAUGGAUUACCAAGGCGACGAUACGUAGCCGACCUGAGAGGGUGAUCGGCCACACUGGAACUGAGACACGGUCCAGACUCCUACGGGAGGCAGCAGUAGGGAAUCUUCCGCAAUGGGCGAAAGCCUGACGGAGCAACGCCGCGUGAGUGAUGAAGGGUUUCGGCUCGUAAAACUCUGUUAUUAGGGAAGAACAUAUGUGUAAGUAACUGUGCACAUCUUGACGGUACCUAAUCAGAAAGCCACGGCUAACUACGUGCCAGCCGCCGCCGUAA
rnacentral:rRNA from 1 species